rnacentral:lncRNA from 1 species
AAUGGGGAAGUACAAGACCAUCCAGCAUACAAGUAUCAGACACGCGGAGCGUGUAACCAUGGAAGAAGCAGGCCAAGAUUCAAUGACCUUUAUUGAGCCACAUGCAAGGUUAGCUGAACAGCAUGAAUUCAAGUUUUACCAAAUUGUAUUUAAAAGUUGAUAACUUCAUCAUCCUGUACCUGAGCCUGGGGUCUCUGAAGCAUCCUCAUGUACCUCAACUUGAACUAGAUGGACACUGCCCAUUUACUGGGACUAGAGAUCCAUACACAGGAGAUGACCACCCAUUUUGAUCUCUGGAUAAAGAAGAGGAAGAAUGUAUUGAAUGAAAGCAAAAACAAGUUCAUUCACUGAACCUGAAGCUCCAUGAUUUUGCUAGAUUUAACUGGGGAGCAAUCACUAACAGAAUUCCGUGUCACUCUGAAUAGCACUCGAACUUCAGGCAUUGGAUUCCAGGCCUUGGACACAGUAGGAAUCUGCUGUAUCAAUGAAGGAUGUGUCCAGUCAUUGGCUUCCUGAGACAUAGUCUGAUUAUGUCAUUCAAACUACCCUACAUCUCAUGGUCUGUUUGCCUGUGACUUCCAAGUAAUAAGAUCACAGGUGUGCUCCUCAUAAGUGUUUUAAAAAGACACAUUUCAAACACUUGAAAAAAAGUUUUCACUGUUGUUAAGCAGAUGAAAAAAAUUGAAAUUAUAGAUCUUGUGAAAUGAUUCAUAAAUGCUUGAAAACUUGUGUUCUCGGAAAGUUUCAAGGCUCUUAAAAUCAUUUAGAAUUUGCAGAAAAAAGAAAAUGCUUUGGCAAUAGUCUUUCAAAAAGAGCAUACACAUACAUGUAAAAUGUCUCAAGGAAAAGAUGUACAGAAAAGAAAUGAAUAAAACAUGUACAACUUAUGACAGACCCAGUGUCUGGUCAGUAGUGUUUGAUAGAACACCUACUUCAAUGCCCAUCAAACAAAGAAAGCUUCCAUCCUGGUUGCUACCAUAUACCAUAUCUGCAUACUCUGCAUUCAUCAGGAUGUCUGUCAAUGUGCCUCUCUUCCAAACCACCAAUGUGAAAAUAUGAAUUAAUAGAUAAACUUGAACCUCAGGGUUUAUAAUGAGUGGGCACAUACAUGUCAGCAGUGACAGCUCACUGUCUGCAGGCUCACCUCAUGCAGGAUUUAACACUAUUAAAGUUAUUUUUUCAAGAAGUGUGUGAUGCAUAAAAUGUAAAUAAAUCAUAAACAUUUAAAAAUUAUAAUUUUAUGGUCAUUUUUCUGUUAUUCCCUUACUUUAUAGCCUGCAUGCUCCACUUCAGUAGAAAUACAUGACAUCUUUUCUUCAUUGUUAGGGGUGAUACCCAGGGCUUUGCAUAAUACAGAACUAUUCUACCACCAAAAUACACCUUUAUUCCUGAAUGCAUUUUUAAUAUGAUUUAAAUUUUUUAUUUUCUUGCAACUUUUAUUCUAUCAAGUCCCUUUAUCCUUACAUAUGAAUGAACCUUGUAAAUAGAACUCAGAUGUAUAACACCUAAGUUUUAAAAUAGCAUAAGAGCAACUAAUUUAAUUUAAUUUUAACAGUAUUUUACUAUUUAUUCAUUGGAUUAAUUAUUAUGAAUCAAAUAACUGUAGGUUGCUACUAUAAGUUAAAUAUCCCUCAAAAUGCUUCUUUUUUAGUAUAGGCACAAAAAUUACAUUAGCAGCUAUAUAGUCCAAACAGAUUCUGAAUUCUGUGAACAAAUGUGUUUAUUUUAUAUGUAUUUGAUAAUAACAAUGUAAUUUUCUAUUACUAUUAUCACAUGACCAAUAUUGUGUCAAAUAUAAUAAACCUUAAAACUCCAUCUCAAUAAAUAGAAAUAUGUAUUUAUAGUUUAACCAUUACUUCAUCUUAUUAAAAAUUAUUUAGGGAAGUAUUUGUGUGUAUCUCAAAAUAUAAACAAAAUGAUUGUGGCAAAUUAUUGAUUUCUUAGAAUUUGAUAGACAGCUUUAUAAAAUUUAUAUGACAACUGAGUGAUAUAAUUGUAAUGCUGUGUAAGUCACAGCAAAGACUAAAAGGUAUUUAAAUAAAUGACAAUCAACACC